rnacentral:rRNA from 2 species
AACUUUCAACAACGGAUCUCUUGGUUCUGGCAUCGAUGAAGAACGCAGCGAAAUGCGAUACGUAGUGUGAAUUGCAGAAUUCCGUGAAUCAUCGAAUCUUUGAACGCACAUUGCGCCCUUUGGUAUUCCAAAGGGCAUGCCUGUUCGAGCGUCAUU